rnacentral:rRNA from 1 species
GCAAGUCUGGUGCCAGCAGCCGCGGUAAUUCCAGCUCCAAUAGCGUAUAUUAAAGUUGUUGCAGUUAAAAAGCUCGUAGUUGAAUUUCGGGAUCAAUAUUUCGGUCAUGCCGUUGGUAUGCACUGUUAUCAUUGAUUUCUCACCUUCUAAAGAACCAUAAUGCCAUUAAUUUGGUGUUACGGGGAAUUAGGACUGUUACCUUGAAAAAAUUAGAGUGUUUAAAGCAGGCUCACGCUUGAAUACAUUAGCAUGGAAUAAUGAAAUAGGACAUCCGAUUCUAUUUUGUUGGUUUCUAGGAUCGAUGUAAUGAUUAAUAGGGAUAGUUGGGGGCAUUAGUAUUCAAUUGUCAGAGGUGAAAUUCUUGGAUUUAUUGAAGACUAACCACUGCGAAAGCAUUUGCCAAGGAUGUUUUCAUUAAUCAAGAACGAAAGUUAGGGGAUCGAAGACGAUCAGAUACCGUCGUAGUCUUAACCAUAAACUAUGCCGACUAGGGAUCGGAUGAUGUUAAUUUUUUAAUGACUCAUUCGGCGCCUUACGGGAAAC